AUUGAACGCUGGCGGCAUGCCUAACACAUGCAAGUCGAACGGAAACGAUGGGAGCUUGCUCCCAGGCGUCGAGUGGCGGACGGGUGAGUAAUACUUAGGAAUCUGCCCAGUAGUGGGGGACAACAUUCGGAAACGGAUGCUAAUACCGCAUACGCACUACGGUGGAAAGUGGGGGACCUUCGGGCCUCACGCUAUUGGAUGAGCCUAAGUCGGAUUAGCUUGUUGGUGAGGUAAUAGCUCACCAAGGCGACGAUCCGUAGCUGGUCUGAGAGGACGAUCAGCCACACUGGGACUGAGACACGGCCCAGACUCCUACGGGAGGCAGCAGUGGGGAAUAUUGGACAAUGGGCGCAAGCCUGAUCCAGCAAUGCCGCGUGUGUGAAGAAGGCCUGCGGGUUGUAAAGCACUUUCAGUAGAGAAGAAAAGCCUAGGGUUAAUACCCCUGAGUCUUGACGUAACCUACAGAAGAAGCACCGGCUAACUCCGUG
rnacentral:rRNA from 1 species